rnacentral:rRNA from 1 species
AUUGAACGCUGGCGGCAUGCUUUACACAUGCAAGUCGAACGGUAACAGGCCUUCGGGUGCUGACGAGUGGCGAACGGGUGAGUAAUGCAUCGGAACGUACCCAGAGGUGGGGGAUAACGCAGCGAAAGCUGUGCUAAUACCGCAUGUGAUCUGAGGAUGAAAGCGGGGGACCGAGCAGCAAUGUUUGGCCUCGCGCCUUUGGAGCGGCCGAUGUCGGAUUAGCUAGUUGGUGGGGUAAAGGCCUACCAAGGCGACGAUCCGUAGCUGGUCUGAGAGGACGACCAGCCACACUGGGACUGAGACACGGCCCAGACUCCUACGGGAGGCAGCAGUGGGGAAUUUUGGACAAUGGGCGCAAGCCUGAUCCAGCAAUGCCGCGUGCGGGAAGAAGGCCUUCGGGUUGUAAACCGCUUUUGGCAGGAACGAAACGGUGUCCGCUAAUACCGGGCGCUAAUGACGGUACCUGCAGAAUAAGCAGCGGCUAACUACGU